AGAGUGGAUGAUGAUGAGCUCAAGGGAUAUAUUCUCAAUGGCCUAGAUGGAGAUUACAAUCCCCUUGUGGCUUCUAUUAAUGCUGUACCAUCUACCACACUGAAUGAUAUGUGUGCCCAGUUGCAGGCGUUUGAAU